rnacentral:lncRNA from 1 species
AUGGCAUUACGAGGGAAUCCACUGGUCAGCGAAGCUGCUCCUCAGAGUGGAGGCGGGAUUCUUAGGGGAGAGCUCCUCAACAAUUGGCUACAUUUGACGGCUUUAGUCCAGGGACCCAGACGCUAUUGGAUAAGGCCAGCCCGGAGUGGGCGGGGAAAGGGGAGGAGGGCUAGAAGAUGGGUAGUGUUUGCUGUGGAUGGGGGCGGGGUGAAGAGAGGCGUAAUUGUGACCGCAAGCUGCUUUAGAGGGCUGGGUAAGGUUGUGACAAGGAACAAUGGGCUGGCUCAAGUUUUAUGAAGCGUGACCCAACAACAUCCUCUGAAGGCUGAUCAGCACCGGACUAGAAAUCACUGCAUGAGCUAUAUCCGUCAGAGACCCCUGAAACCCAUUCCCCAUUCUGAAGGUGUAGACAUCACAGACUGUGGACAGAAAUAGCUUCUCAGACUUGAAUGUAGCCCCAGACCCUUUGUGUCUGCCUUUGAAAGAACUCACAGCCAUGGUACAUCAGAGUGAAGGAGAAGAAAGAAUCCUUUGCCAUUGCUCUAUUUUUCAUUCAGUUGUCACGUUACCUUGAAAAUAAAGGUUUCAUCUCAGUGUUUAUAUAUUCCUCUGUAUUCUCUUUCAUCUUGGGGAAAAAAAAAAAAAACCCAGGCUUCAGUAGCAAAGUCUCUUAGUGAUGAACCCCAUCAUCCUGACUGAGUUAAAACAGUUUGGACUUCCAAAAAACAGCUUUAAAUUUAUCACUAGAUAAGUAUAUAAGGUAAUGCAUAUGUUAACUAGCUUGGUUUAGCUAUCCCACAAUGUAUACAUGUAUCAAAACACAUGCAGUGGCUCACUCCUGUAAUCCAACACUUUGGGAGGCUGAGGCGGAGCCCAGGAGUCUGAGACCAACCUGGGCAACAUAGUGAGACCCCGUCUCUACAAAAAAUUUAAAAAUUAGCCUGAUAUGGUGGUGCAUGCCUGUAGUCCCAGCUAGUGGGGAGGCUGAGGCAGGAGGGUUUGAGCCCAGGAAGUUGAGGCUGCAGUAAGCUAUAGAUCGUACCACUGCAUUCCAGCCUGAGCCACAGAGUGAGACCCAGUUUGACAAAUAAACAAACAUAAUAACGUGAUAAACAUAAAUAAGUAAAGCAUGUUGUACAUUAUAAAUAUAUACAAAUUUUGUCAAUCAAAAAUUAAUAAUAAUUUUAAAAAUAGGCUGGGCACAGUGGCUCAGUGUAAUCCCAGCACUUUGGGAGGCCAAGGCAGGAGGAUCACCUGAGGUCAGCAGUUCCAGACCAGCCUGGCCAACAUGGUGAAACC